AGCAGCCGCGGUAAUUCCAGCUCCAAUAGCGUAUAUUAAAGUUGUUGCAGUUAAAAAGCUCGUAGUUGAAUUUCGGGGUUAGUAGGUUGGUCAUGCCUCUGGUAUGUACUGGUCUCACUGAUUCCUCCUUCCUGAUGAACCUUAAUGCCAUUAAUUUGGCGUUUUGGGGAAUUUGGACUGUUACUUUGAAAAAUUAGAGUGUUUAAAGCAAGCUAACGCUUGAAUACAUUAGCAUGGAAUAAUGAAAUAGGACGUUCGAUCCUAUUUUGUUGGUUUCUAGGAUUGGCGUAAUGAUUAAUAGGGAUAGUUGGGGGCAUUAGUAUUCAAUUGUCAGAGGUGAAAUUCUUGGAUUUAUUGAAGACUAACUACUGCGAAAGCAUUUGCCAAGGAUGUUUUCAUUAAUCAAGAACGAAAGUUAGGGGAUCGAAGACGAUCAGAUACCGUCGUAGUCUUAACCAUAAACUAUGCCGACUAGGGAUCGGAUGAUGUUAAUUUUUAAUGACUC
rnacentral:rRNA from 1 species